rnacentral:rRNA from 1 species
AGUGAACGCUGGCGGUAGGCCUAACACAUGCCAGUCGAACGGCAGCACAGUAAGAGCUUGCUCUUACGGGUGGCGAGUGGCGGACGGGUGAGGAAUACAUCGGAAUCUACUUUUUCGUGGGGGAUAACGUAGGGAAACUUACGCUAAUACCGCAUACGACCUACGGGUGAAAGCAGGGGAUCUUCGGACCUUGCGCGAUUGAAUGAGCCGAUGUCGGAUUAGCUAGUUGGCGGGGUAAAGGCCCACCAAGGCGACGAUCCGUACCUGGUCUGAGAGGAUGAUCAGCCACACUGGAACUGAGACACGGUCCAGACUCCUACGGGAGGCAGCAGUGGGGAAUAUUGGACAAUGGGCGCAAGCCUGAUCCAGCCAUACCGCGUGGGUGAAGAAGGCCUUCGGGUUGUAAAGCCCUUUUGUUGGGAAAGAAAAGCAGCAGGUUAAUACCCCGCUGUUCUGACGGUACCCAAAGAAUAAGCACCGGCUAACUUCGUG